AGAGAGGUGUGUCAAUAGCACAGAAUACAUUUGUAGAAUUUUGCCUUUAUGUGUUCUGCUGCCACACCUUCUGACUCUGAGACCAUUCUCCCUACCUCAUUGGAGCUCAGUGGAGAGGGGAAACCUGGAGAGAGAGAGAGAGAGAGGGGAAAGAAACCUUUUACACAUUACAUUCACACAGAAACAGUUCUGCUGCCACACCUUCUGACUCUGAGACCAUUCUCCCUAC